UUAUCUGAAUAAGGAUACAACCUCUAACAUUGGGUUAAUUCAAACCCCCCAAAUUAAGUCGGCCUAAAAGCAGUCAUCUUAAAGAAAGCGUUAAAGCUCAACUACUUUAAACCUUAAAUCCCAUAAAUCAUCAUCAACCCUUAAUUACUACUGAAUUAUAUUAUAUUUAUAUAAAAAUGAUAAUGCUAGAACUAGUAACAAGAAUUAGCCCUUCUCCUAAAUGUAAACUAAAGCCAAAACGGAUAUUCCAUUGGCAAUUACCGCAAAUGCAUUAACUAUAGUACCCCAUACUAGAAAACCCUAUAAACCCCAGCGUUAACCUAACACCAGAACAUUACAGGAAAGAUUAAUAGAGGAAGAAGGAACUCGGCAAAUUUCAGUCCCGCCUGUUUACCAAAAACAUCGCCUCUUGCUUAAACAUAAGAGGUCCAGCCUGCCCAGUGAUAUAAUUCAACGGCCGCGGUAUCCUAACCGUGCGAAGGUAGCAUAAUCACUUGUUCUUUAAAUGAGGACUUGUAUCAACGGCAUCACGAGGACUGUACUGUCUCCUUUCUCUAAUCAGUGAAACUGAUCUCCCCGUGAAGAAGCGGGGAUAUAUAU
rnacentral:rRNA from 1 species